rnacentral:lncRNA from 1 species
UGCAGCUUUCAUUCAGCUCUGUUUACUCCGUGAUGUUUUGUGCAUAUUUCCCUAAACACCUUUUAUUAAAAGUAAAUAAAGCAAGUUCGAUCUGUCAACAUUGCCAAAAGCUUUUUGAAAAUCUAACUGCAGUGUAAACGAGACUACCCUGGUUGACAGGUAUUUCUGUAUCAAGGACAACAUGCAAAAUACGUUGGUAUUCGUUCUCUAGCCUUUGUGGAAACCUGCUUUGGGCCUUUGGGGGUAAUUCAUUAUCUUUUGCCAGAAACGAGACAAUCUGCUGAAGUUACUGUAUAAUUUACUUUUGAUAUUCAAAGCUGUCUGCGUUGUCCUUUUUAUGGAGAGAAAAUAUUUGAGCCUUCGGCGAACAGUCCGGAUGCCACUGGUUCGAACUUUAUUUUAAAAGUGAAAUCAGAAGUCUCACAAGGGUAUUGUUUACAAAUUUCAACCAUCCAUCAGUCAGUUAGUCCUCCCUUGAAUGGUACUGGUCGUCGGGAAGGGGGAGAGCACACGGACAGACGAAGCAGUUGAGAGCCCGUUACCCACGCCUGUCUUGGGCAAUAGUGAGCAGGUCCUGCACAAGACGACUAUAGUCCACCCGUUGAUGUUUCAUCCUCUGACCACCUUCCAGGGUACCUUGAAGAAUAGUCUUUGACAAUGUGUCGUGCCGGGUCACAUGACCAGACCGGACCAGCUUACGCCCCUUGACUGUUUGCAAGAAAGGGUUCCUCACGUCUUCUGAACGUGGCGACCAUGCUUCGUACGAACUCAUUGGUUCUAAGUUCUCUGUGCGAGAUCCAGAGCAGCCUCAUCAAGCAUUUUGUUCUCGAACGCCCGAAUUCUCAUCUCCGUAUCGACAAACAGGGUCCACGUGUCACAUCCGGAAAGCAGGAUCGACACCAGGAGGACUUGUAUAUGUUGUGUUUCGUGAAAGACCCUGUCCAGCGUAUCAUUGCCGCUGCUGCUGUCGCGAUCCUGAUGCAGAUAUCUGUCGUGGUCCUGCCAUCAUAGGAGAGGGUGGCUCCCAGGGACUAAAAUGGUCCAGCAUGUUGCGAUGGUUGCCGUGUGGGUCAAUCGACUACAUGGGUAGUAAACAUUAUGAGUGUUUAUAAGGAGCAACAAGCGCUGAGUGACCAUCCAACUCCGAACACACGACAGGAAAACAAACCAAAAAUUCAGAUGGGAAGAGGUUAUACGGACUCGUAGUGAGCUGUACCUGUGUCCAUAGAAGGGAUGGGGCAUGCACGCGUAUGCAUCUGCACGUGCGAGGUUUCCUCCAACGUCUUCACCAGGUGUUGUUCUACCUCCAGCACCCGGCGAUUUCCACGUCCUCAGUUACAGCCGAGCCAGGGUACAUGACAGGUCAUGACCACGGGUAGCGCCUCCAGAACCGACUCGCAGGUAACGAUAACCACCGCAGACCCAGGGGACUGUCAUCUCCUCACUUGGACUUCAUCGCCAGUGACCGACCGCGCGAGAUGGAGUGGAGUCAGUGACCUGAAGGCGCGUGCUGUGUGACCUCGGCCGAACAAUAACCGAGGGAGGGCAGCCACCCGACAGUUAUGCCUCAUGCCGUGGCCUUGCGUGACUUUGAGGUCACAAGCGGCUGUGGUGUAUGGGUCGCUACACAUGUACAUACACUGUAAGUCUGGCCGUGGUCAGUGUGGCGAACCGUGGGGGUAAAGGGACACUGCUCGUUACCACCAUCUCUUCAUCACGCUCAGUCGACAGCCGGGCUACACCACCACGUACAUGCGCGCGCGUGCGCACAUCGCGUCCUUCCCAUUGGCUUGGCAACGCGACCAAUGGCGUGGCGGCACACCAGUGUAGUCCGGAGGUCGACCACCGGUCCACAGAGCUUCAGUAGCUUGCAAACAGAGGAUGACCUGCACAAGGACUGCAGGACGAGCCCCCGAGCUAGCUCUGUGACCAAGGGACUCGAGGUGUAGCAGUUCAUGACCCCGGCCAGGCAAACUUUCGCCCUUAUCCCAUGCGGCCUUGCGCACAGAUCGUCUGCAAGCAACGAGUUGCCUGUCCAGAGAUUUGGAUCGCAACUUGGUUGCUCAUUUUAGUCAGUUUUACCGGCAUCUACCAAGCUGUCUCCAGCCCCUGCUCUCCCAGCCCGUCAUUGCCAUCAUCCCAUCAUGCUCAGAACCGGUGAGAAACACCGGCGCACCGUCUUCCUUCCACGAAAGCAGGCCCUUCACGAUCGUCAGAUGCGGCAGACGUUUGUCAGCGUGACCUGAGAUUGAUGAUGAUGUUGAUGACGACGACGAUGACUUGACCUGCGAGACACCUGGUCUUCCAUGACGUCACACUGAUGACAUCGUCGCGACCGUUACGACCACCUCAAGACUAACGUGUAGGUGACUAACUCAAGGGGCGGAACUUUCCGAUGACAAGAAAGAAGAUUCCCGUGGUGAUGGUUCGUGAUUCAACGAAAUGGUGACCCGUGACGACGAGAGGUCAGUGGUGCUAGACACAGGGAGAGUGAGGACCACGGGGAGCUAAGACCCUCGUGAACACGUGUUAUCACUUUAUCAUCACAUUGUUUAUCAAGAGAGAAACAAAGUGGAUGACAACACACAGACAGACACACCCACUGUUGUGACAUUCCUUCCCUUAGUGCGCACUCGGUUGUCUCCCAUCAACCAUGGUCCUGUCACUUCACCAGACAACUCCACUAUGGCCUGUCGCUGAUUAUGUCCCUUGAUAUCACUUUUAAUUUGUUUAUGUUGUUGGUCUCUCUCUUGCCCAGUUUCCUGCUCGCUCAAGGAUUUUUUUUCGAAAUUUACAUGGUAUUAAAACUGUUUUCAGAAUAUAGGAGCAUGACGAGUUUUACUGACCACAAAUUUCCUAGGGGUGGAUUAACAUGGUUUAAAAACGUUCAUAUUUAUUAUUUAAAAAUGUCUCUGACGAUCAGGAGAUUGUGUGGAGCUUAGCUCUGAAGGAUGAUUAUAACACGGGUACAUACAUCGAAUAUUUUAAAAAGGAUGUUCGAUCACGAAUUGUUCGUAUGGUGAGAAUACAAACACGUGUAAAAUUGUGAAUGAAGCCAUUUAUCAUGUUUAGUAAGUUUGUUUUACAUAAAGAUGACCCUUGAUGUUAUUGUAUGCCUCGACAGUGACUAGUACAGUUAAAAAAAUGUCAUUUUGUGCUCCUCUUUGUGACAGGAAUGAUAACAGGCAAAACUUUGUAACUGUCGUUUCGAAUAAACUUCUUGGCGAUACAUAA